rnacentral:lncRNA from 1 species
CACUCAGCUUUCUGAAAUGGUGUCCCACCGCAAGGACUGGAGAAGGGGUCUUCCUCUGCCACCCAGGCUGGAGUGUGCAGCAGCAUGACCGUGGCUUACUGCAGCUUCAACCUCUCAGGAUUAGGUAAACCUCAGGUUCUCCUCCUGCCUUUUGCUAAGUAUAUGUCUUGAUGACAAGCCUUCUGCUGAUGAGCUGUGUUUCUGGACCGAUCAUGGUAGAAGUCAAUUAACGUGUCCCUCACUUGGGGUUUCUCAAGGGAGUCUCACUCUGUCGUCCAGGCUGGAGUGCAGUGGCACAAUCUCGGCUCACUGCAAGCUCUGCCUCCCAGGUUCACGCCAUUCUCCUGCCUCAGUCUCCCAAGUAGCUGCACUGAUGAGGAAACUGAAACAGAAAAUCCAGAGUAAAUUCCACCAGGCCACACAGCAAGGUCUGAUAGAGCCAGGAGAGACUUUAUGAAAUCCAGACUCUCACACUAAUGCUCUAUCAGCUAGACCUCCAUGUGAGUCUCCCCAAUGUAGGUAGGAAGUGCUUUCCCUAAAAUGCUCAUAAAGCAAAUCAGAGCAAUGCUGCAUUCCAUGUGAUUUCUAAUUUGAAAUGCAAACAAUUGCCAAUUUGUUUGACUUGUAUUUAUAAUUAUUUCCUUGUGAAUUACUCAUCACUAAAUGCUUUAUAAAUAUUU